UUGUUGUAAAUUAGCUAAAAUUAACCCAAUUUGAUAGAAAUAAAAAGUAAAAUUCGAGUUUUGAGAAGAGAUGAAUUAAAAUCGGCACCUUCCUAUUUUAUGUAAACUCCCAGAUGUGUUUUCCUCUCUCUCUCUCUCUCUCUCUCUCUCUCUCUCUCAAACUGCUGAUAUCUUUGUUUUACUUGUUUCUGUUGACUGAAGCUAAAAUACUUGAAGGGCCACAUGAGGACCUGGAAAGCCAUCUUCAAGCAAUUGAGCAACUAAGAAACAACAUUAGGUUUUUUAGUGACAACAAAAGCUUCAAGAGCUCAGCCAUAUAAAUAAUUUACUAGCCAAGGCUAUAACCAAGCUGGAAGAAGAAUUUAAGCAGAUUUUGUCAUCAUACAGGUACGUUUUACUUUCUUUGUGCAACAACUCAUAAUUUUGUAGCCAUACCAUUAUUUUAAACUAGACAUUUUUCUUGCAUAUAAUUUUAUGGUGGUAGGUCACCCAUCACGACAAAGUCUUGAACUACAUAUAUAUAGUGCAUGUGUAUCCACUAACCUUCUGUGUGAAGGUAGUACACUAACAUUGUGCUCACAAUUUUUUAGCUGAUAUUGAGAAUAUUUUUUAUGUUUCCCCAUAACUUUUCCCUACGUUUUAACCACACAAGCAAUCCUCUUAUAUUGAUUUGCAUGUUCUGAACAACUAUCCUUCUGCACUCUUAAAAAAAAGGUUGAUCCUCAACCUUGAGGGCCCCACUACCCCGCUUUUAGCGUAUCGUGAGGGAGGUAAAUCGCAGGAUGUGUCCCAACAGACCAAGGAACAAGAGUUUGCCCGUACACUGUGCCCACAAAGAGUCCAAUUCCAUAUCUCAAGAAUUAAACCCUUACACUGCGGCUGUCAGCAAAACUGAGGCUGCAGGCUAUAGUUGCUUCAUUCUGUUUAUCAUCUCCUCCGAAAGUAAACUUGAACAUAGACAAUAGAGCAUCAAAAUUCAAGAAGGUGAAAAGAGUCGAAGGCAAACAAAAUGGGUUCAGUGAGAAAAAUCCAUACGGUAGGAAAGGCAACACAAGACAGUUUGUCAGAUACUAGGACGAGGCCUUUGGUUGAGAACGGGUAAUAACCCACAGAAGUACAUCAUGUACAAUCCAGAGGAUCCCGAACAUGUGCCUGGUGAAUUUUUCGAGGGUAAGACCUUAAACGACCACAAGCGGUAGACAUCCUAUCCAAUGCUCUCGACUUUUAGUCUUUUAUUAGACAACUAUGGGGUCACUUUCUUGUACAUGAUGUUUCUUCAUUUUUCUGUUAAGGUGGUUUUGUGCUUGACUGCAUGCAUAUUGUAAUAUCCUGCGUUGCAGAGAAGCUUAUUCAUAAUUGCUUGUUUUCUUGAUGGAGAAAGGAUAAUGAUGUUCAAAUGUCUUACCAUUAGACUCGCUAAGGCAUUUUUUUAGGUGCUUAUUUGGAUAGAAAGCAUUUGCUACGUAUUGCUCAAAAAGAGGCUUUUAGUAGUGCAAAAUAUGCCAGUAAUUCAUCUAUUCUACUGCAAGCCUUGAUAUUCUUUUCUA